rnacentral:lncRNA from 10 species
GGGCACUGCUGGGUUGUGGAGACCUCUCCCUUUUCUCCAGGAACUGCCUGUUCUUACACGUCACCCUGUAUCAUGUACCACAUCCCGAGGCCUGACACUUUGUGGGAGCUGCUGAUUUCAGUGAAGCUGACCCUCCAUCCUGAGCUGGUCUGGCCUGAGAGAGGUAGGGGUGAGAUGUGCUGGGAAGCCAGAAAGGGAGGUGCUGGUAAGAGACACCCCAUCCAGGGCCAGAACCGCGACAAACUCUCUGAAGUGCACACAGCAGCUGGCAGCAUGCAGAGGAUACUCAGCAUGCAACAGCUCUCUUGGGAGCAAGGCGUCAAUCCAUGAAGGCUGAGGAAUGGCUCUCCAAGGGCUGGCAGCAAUGUGGCUGCCAACGGUAUAGUGAUGGAAAGUGCCACCAAGCUAUAUAAUAAGCUGCUAUUAUUACUUUUGGUCUUUUCAGCCACAAGCACAUAAGCAGAGACUGUAGAAAUGCCAUCACCCAUAGAGGCACCUCCAAAGAUGAAGGAAUGUGUAUUGGGACAUGUGUGUCUAUUCCAAACCAAAUACUUCCUGUAAGAGGGU